GACGAACGCUGGCGGCGUGCCUAAUACAUGCAAGUAGAACGCUGAAGGAGGAGCUUGCUUCUCUGGAUGAGUUGCGAACGGGUGAGUAACGCGUAGGUAACCUGCCUGGUAGCGGGGGAUAACUAUUGGAAACGAUAGCUAAUACCGCAUAAUAGUAGAUGUUGCAUGACAUUUGCUUAAAAGGUGCAAUUGCAUCACUACCAGAUGGACCUGCGUUGUAUUAGCUAGUUGGUGGGGUAACGGCUCACCAAGGCGACGAUACAUAGCCGACCUGAGAGGGUGAACGGCCACACUGGGACUGAGACACGGCCCAGACUCCUACGGGAGGCAGCAGUAGGGAAUCUUCGGAAAGGGACGGAAUCCUGACCGAGCAACGCCGCGGGGGGGAAGAAGGUUUUCGGAUUGUAAAGCUCUGUUGUAAGGGAAGAACGAUUGUGGGAGGGAAAAGUUACACCUGGGCCGGUACUUUACAAAAAAGGGCCGGCUACCUACGG
rnacentral:rRNA from 1 species